GAAAUGCGAUACGUAGUGUGAAUUGCAGAUAAUGUGAAUCAUCGAAUCUUUGAACGCAAAUUGCACUCGAGGCUCCGGCCAAGAGUAUGUCUGCCUCAGCGUCGGCUUUACCCUCACCCCCCUACAAAGGUGGGCGUGGACCUGGCAGUCCCGGUCUGCAAAGACCGGGUCCGCUGAAGACCAGAGGCUCGAGCAAGGACCCACAUGGGAAAACAGUCUGGUAGGUGACCCGAAAGGGGCGCAUGCCACUGUUCGCCCGGAGACUUGCUGGAAGCCGGCAGGAAUCGCCCGGUCGCCCUUGACGGGGCGCCCGCGCGACACACCCUUUUCGACCUGAGUUCAGGCAAGAACACCCGCUGAACUUAA
rnacentral:misc_RNA from 1 species